GACGAACGCUGGCGGCGUGCCUAAUACAUGCAAGUCGAGCGAAUGGAAGGGAGCUUGCUCCCUGAAGUUAGCGGCGGACGGGUGAGUAACACGUGGGCAACCUGCCUGUAAGACUGGGAUAACUUCGGGAAACCGGAGCUAAUACCGGAUACGUUCUUUCCUCGCAUGAGGGAAGAUGGAAAGAUGGUUUCGGCUAUCACUUACAGAUGGGCCCGCGGCGCAUUAGCUAGUUGGGGGGGUAAUGGCCCACCAAGGCGACGAUGCGUAGCCGACCUGAGAGGGUGAUCGGCCACACUGGGACUGAGACACGGCCCAGACUCCUACGGGAGGCAGCAGUAGGGAAUCUUCCGCAAUGGACGAAAGUCUGACGGAGCAACGCCGCGUGAGCGAAGAAGGCCUUCGGGUCGUAAAGCUCUGUUGUCGGGGAAGAACAAGUGCCAGAGUAACUGCUGGCACCUUGACGGUACCUGACCAGAAAGCCACGGCUAACUACGUGCCAGCCGCCGCCGUAACAC
rnacentral:rRNA from 1 species